AACGCACAUUGCGCCUUCUGGUAUUCCGGGAGGCACGUCUGUCUGAGCGUCAGCAAAACCCUUCCGGCCCCCGGCAUUGCCGCCGGGGGCUCGGGCUCGCUGGCGCAGGGGACGUCGGCCGCCGCGCUUCGGUGCGGUCCUGGCCUUCCCCCGCUUAAACCCGUGGAAGAUAGCGGGCACUGGUCCCGGAUCGCGAAACGACUCGUAGAACCUACCGUCGUGACAGCGCCGGGCCUGCCCCGCCUCUUACCCCGACGGGCCCGAGCUCCGGCUCCGCCCACUACUCUUGACCUCAGAUCAGACGAGGAUACCCGCUGAACUUAA
rnacentral:misc_RNA from 1 species